UACGUAGGUGGCAAGCGUUGUCCGGAUUUACUGGGCGUAAAGAGCGCGCAGGCGGUCGUGUAAGUCGAAUGUGAAAGCCCCUGGCUCAACUGGGGAGGGUCAUUCGAUACUGCUCGACUCGAAGGCAGGAGAGGGAAGCGGAAUUCCCGGUGUAGUGGUGAAAUGCGUAGAUAUCGGGAGGAACACCAGUGGCGAAGGCGGCUUUCUGGCCUGUUCUUGACGCUGAGGCGCGAAAGCUAGGGGAGCAAACGGG
rnacentral:rRNA from 1 species